rnacentral:lncRNA from 1 species
CUAGACAGUGGAAAAUCAAAUGGGGCUAGCAAACCUUUCAAACAGCAAGUUAAGUAUGCUGACCAUCCUGACAAGAUAGUGUAAAUUAGACAUUGUUGCAAGAGUCUUUGGAGCUGAAAAAAUUAUACAUCUAAGAGGGGAAAGAAGGGAAAAUGAGGGGAGAACGAACUUAAAUCCAAAAGCCAAAGACUUUUGUCCAAGAAAUGCUAUAUCAUUCAAAGGUACCAGUCCUGGGGAUGUGUUUAGCAUAGAUCAAUAUCAAACUUCCAAUGACUUGCUAUUCCAUGAACCAGAGACUGCAAAACAAUUUAAGAGAGUGGGAACAGAAGAGUCUUUUAUAGUGAAACUGCAUUCAAGCAGUUCUCAAACUGAAAUUAAUACAAACACAAACCUUUCCUCUGUGCAACCUGUUAGCUCACAGACAGCAGUGGUCCAAAGUGAUACAAGUAUAUUACAAGCCCCGGGGCAAGAAAAUAAAGAUGAUAAUGGGAAACCUGUGCAUGCAAACAACACAAUAUCUAGUUUGCAAUAUGAUGCAGAGAUACAAGAACCCUAUGUAUGGAUCAAUGUGGGAGAUCAAAAUUACAAGACUCCAUUAAAGUCACUCCCACAGGACACCACGAUAGAUGGUAUGGUUUCAGUGGCAGGUGCUACUGGACAGAUAGAACAAAUCCCACAAUUGAAAUCUAAGAUGGUAAUGUUAGGUCCACUGUCCAUUGAUCAUACAUUCCAUACAUACCUAAUACCAGGGUGUCCAGACAAUCUUUUGGGAUGUGAUAAUCUUUGUAAAAUUGGGGUAACUUUACAAUGUGAACAAUCAGGAAAUAUUUACCUCCAUUUACCAAAACAAUCCCUGAAACAUUAUCCUCUAUUAUUUUUGGAGCAGCUUGAUGAGACCACUGAUCAGCAGCAGGUUAUUAUCUCUAUUUAUGACAUUCCUACAGACAUUCCACAGGGUGUAUGGGCAGCACAUAAGAUUGAUGUGGGAAUGAUUAAAUCAGUACAACCAGUAAAGAUAGAAGUCAAAGACUGAAUAUAUACCUCCCCCCUCCCAAAACCUAUAUACGAAUUUCAAUCUCAAGCCUAGACUAAAAUAUUAUUAACCUCAACAAUCAAC